AUCCUCCCCGGCGGCCCCAUUCUGGUAUUUGGUUUACAUUAAAAGCCUUAGAAAAUCAAGCGAAAGAGCCAUUCUUGCCUCAGAUAUCAAGAAAUUAUCUGAGAAUCAAGGAUGAAAAGAUGACAGUUCGAUUGGUUAUGAAGUAUUUGGUUAAUAAGCUGCAUCUGGAUAGCGAAUCAGAGAUAGAGAUAAGAUGUAGAGGGCAAGAGAUGCUUCCAUUUUGGACAUUGCAGCAUGUAAGAGAUAACAUUUGGACAACUUCCUCUUCUUCUUCUUCAUCAGACUCACUCUUCACUUUGCUUCCUGACUCCUCAACUACACACCACCUAAUGCUCCUUCACUAUGGAAGAAAGGCUUAAUCAUGCUUCUAAUUAAUUAUUUUUUUAUUUAUUUCCCCAAUAUGAUUUUUUUCCCCUUUUUUCAAUGGUUUCUCCUCCAAUUCUCUUGUGCUACUCCCUUUAUUUGCUAUAUUAUUUCAACUUCUCUUUUCCUCUUUCUCGUAGUUCUUGGAAUAUUAAAACAUUUUGACAUGGUUAAUUAGGGGUUAUUUGAGAUUCAUGCAUAAUUAGUAGGUUUGACUUCAUGUUUUGAAUUGAUUGUGGUGGAUAUACGUGUAAUUGAAGUGUUGUUCAAUUUG